rnacentral:rRNA from 1 species
AGUGAACGCUGGCGGUAGACCUAACACAUGCAAGUCGAACGGCAGCACAGUAAGAGCUUGCUCUUACGGGUGGCGAGUGGCGGACGAGUGAGGAAUACAUCGGAAUCUACUUUUUCGUGGGGGAUAACGUAGGGAAACUUACGCUAAUACCGCAUACGACCUACGGGUGAAAGCAGGGGAUCUUCGGACCUUGCGCGAUUGAAUGAGCCGAUGUCGGAUUAGCUAGUUGGCGGGGUAAAGGCCCACCAAGGCGACGAUCCGUAGCUGGUCUGAGAGGAUGAUCAGCCACACUGGAACUGAGACACGGUCCAGACUCCUACGGGAGGCAGCAGUGGGGAAUAUUGGACAAUGGGCGAAAGCCUGAUCCAGCCAUACCGCAUGGGUGAAGAAGGCCUUCGGGUUGUAAAGCCCUUUUGUUGGGAAAGAAAAGCAGCAGGUUAAUACCCCGCUGUUCUGACGGUACCCAAAGAAUAAGCACCGGCUAACUUCGUG